ACGCGCGGAACCUUACCAGGUCUUGACAUCCCGCUGACCGUCCUGGAGACAGGAUUUUCCCUUCGGGGACAGCGGUGACAGGUGGUGCAUGGUUGUCGUCAGCUCGUGUCGUGAGAUGUUGGGUUAAGUCCCGCAACGAGCGCAACCCUUGAUCUUAGUUGCCAGCAUUCAGUUGGGCACUCUAAGGUGACUGCCGGUGACAAACCGGAGGAAGGUGGGGAUGACGUCAAAUCAUCAUGCCCCUUAUGACCUGGGCUACACACGUGCUACAAUGGAUGGUACAAAGGGCUGCAAGACCGCGAGGUUUAGCCAAUCCCAUAAAACCAUUCUCAGUUCGGAUUGCAGGCUGCAACUCGCCUGCAUGAAGCUGGAAUCGCUAGUAAUCGCGGAUCAGCAUGCCGCGGUGAAUACGUUCCCGGGCCUUGCACACACCGCCCGU
rnacentral:rRNA from 1 species